ACACUCCUACGGGAGGCAGCAGUGGGGAAUUUUGGACAAUGGGGGCAACCCUGAUCCAGCAAUGCCGCGUGAGUGAAGAAGGCCUUCGGGUUGUAAAGCUCUUUUGUCAGGGAAGAAACGGUAGUAGCGAAUAACUACUACUAAUGACGGUACCUGAAGAAUAAGCACCGGCUAACUACGUGCCAGCAGCCGCGGUAAUACGUAGGGUGCAAGCGUUAAUCGGAAUUACUGGGCGUAAAGCGUGCGCAGGCGGUUGUGUAAGUCAGAUGUGAAAUCCCCGGGCUCAACCUGGGAAUUGCAUUUGAGACUGCACGGCUAGAGUGUGUCAGAGGGGGGUAGAAUUCCACGUGUAGCAGUGAAAUGCGUAGAGAUGUGGAGUAAUACCGAUGGCGAAGGCAGCCCCCUGGGAUAACACUGACGCUCAUGCACGAAAGCGUGGGGAGCAAACAGGAUUAGAUACCCGAGUAGUCCCAUGA
rnacentral:rRNA from 1 species